GACGAACGCUGGCGGCGCGCUUAACACAUGCAAGUCGAACGGAAAGGCCUGCUUUCCCUUGUGGAUUGCGGGUACUCGAGUGGCGAACGGGUGAGUAACACGUGAGUGAUCUGCCCCCAACUUGGGUAUAAGCCUGGGAAACUGGGUCUAAUUCCCGAUAGGACUGCAGGGUGGUGCCUGUGGUGGAAAACGAUUUUCUAGUGGUUGGGGGUGAGCUCGCGGCCUAUCAGCUUGUUGGUGGGGUAAUGGCCUACCAAGGCGGCGACGGGUAGCCGGCCUGAGAGGGUGGACGGCCACAUUGGGACUGAGAUACGGCCCAGACUCCUACGGGAGGCAGCAGUGGGGAAUAGUGCACAAUGGGCGGAAGCCUGAUGCAGCGACGCCGCGUGGGGGAUGACGGCCUUCGGGUUGUAAACUCCUUUCGACCGCGAGGAAGCCACCUGGUUGGAAGGGUGGUGACGGUAGUGGUAGAAGAAGCACCGGCUAACUACGUG
rnacentral:rRNA from 1 species